rnacentral:rRNA from 1 species
UACGAAGGGGGCUAGCGUUGCUCGGAAUCACUGGGCGUAAAGCGCACGUAGGCGGCUUUUUAAGUCAGGGGUGAAAUCCUGGAGCUCAACUCCAGAACUGCCUUUGAUACUGAGAAGCUUGAGUCCGGGAGAGGUGAGUGGAACUGCGAGUGUAGAGGUGAAAUUCGUAGAUAUUCGCAAGAACACCAGUGGCGAAGGCGGCUCACUGGCCCGGUACUGACGCUGAUGCACGAAAGCGUGGGGAGCAAACAGG